GACAGAGGGGGCAAGCGUUGCUCGGAAUCACUGGGCGUAAAGGGCGUGUAGGCGGGAGCGUUAGUCGGUCGUGAAAGCCUUCGGCUCAACCGAAGAAGGGCGGCCGAUACUGCGUUCCUUGAGGGGUGGAGAGGAGACUGGAAUUCCCGGUGUAGCGGUGAAAUGUGUAGAGAUCGGGAGGAACACCGGUGGCGAAGGCGGGUCUCUGGCCACACUCUGAAGCUGAGGCGCGAAAGCGUGGGGAGCAAACGGG
rnacentral:rRNA from 1 species